rnacentral:rRNA from 1 species
AUACGUAGGUGACAAGCGUUAUCCGGAUUUACUGGGCGUAAAGGGCGUGUAGGCGGUCUUGCAAGUCAGAAGUGAAAUUCCUGAGCUCAACUCGGGCGCUGCUUCUGAAACUGCAGGACUUGAGUGCUGGAGGGGAUAGCGGAAUUCCUAGUGGAGCGGUAAAAUGCGCAGAUAUUAGGAAGAACACCGGUGGCGAAGGCGGCUAUCUGGACAGUAACUGACGCUGAGGCGCGAAAGCGUGGGGAGCAAACAGGAUUAGAUACCCUGGUAGUCCACGCGGUAAACGAUGAUCACUAGGUGUCGGCGGCCAUAGGCGGUCGGUGCCGCAGCAAACACAAUAAGUGAUCCACCUGGGGAGUACGUUCGCAAGAAUGAAACUCAAAGGAAUUGACGGGG